rfam:Canis lupus familiaris chromosome 13, whole genome shotgun sequence.
GUGCGCUCCCAAGGCUGCCGCAGUGCCCUGGGAGGCCAACACAGAAGGGGACAGCAAGGCUCCAUGAAACCCAGGGACGAGCCCGCAGAGCUCCUCUUUGGAUCCUGUCUGGAGUCACAGCC